rnacentral:lncRNA from 1 species
UAAAUUUCAGUCCACAGGCUCAGGAACACAAAAGCUCACCUUCACUAUAGCUGAACUUAAUGUGUAUGUAGGGCUCUUCAUUCCCCUUUGUGACAGGAAACUUAAUUUUGAUCAAUUUAGGGUAAAUCAGCCAGUUCAGUGGUUGUGUCUGUGUUUCUGAAGGAGCUUAUAGGGUAUUAGCAUCAGAGGUGGUUCCUGGUCCUCAGCCAUCACCUCUCCCUUAUGGCACCUACAGAGCCAUUUGCCACCCAUCUUCAUGCCUCUACCUGGCUUCACUGCAGUGGUUCCCGUCUGAAAUGUCUUUACGAGAAAAGACCUGCUAACAAGAAUCCUCAUUGCUCUGGAUGAUGGAGCCUGCAUGGGAGCAUUCCCCACUGGCUGGUCAAAUAGGGGCUGGUCAUAAGAUUUAUUUUAUCUAGAAGAGAACCGGAGCAACAUUUAAAACAAGCCACCACUGAAAUAUUUGCUCCUCCAAGCACCUUAGAGAAGAUUUGGUGAAGAAUCACCCUAGUUGUGUCAAAGUAGACCUGAAGAACUUUGACUUGCUCAAAGUUCCUGAUCUGGGUCCCCUGAUUCCAGGCCAUGAGUCCUUCUUUUAAACCAUCAUAUAGUGUGUGAGCUGUCAUCUGAGAGAAGCCCAGUGAAUGCUGCAAUGAUCAUUGGUAGGACUGUUAGGCUUUGUUUCUCAAGAGGAUAAUCUGAUUGGGAAAAGAAUAAGAGUGCAGCUGCAGCCCAUCCUUGUGAAGAAGGUACCAGUGCGCUCUCAAAGCCAAGUCUUGAAAAUAAUAGCGAAUGCUGUAUUGGAUAACAGCCAUGCCAGAUACAGAGAAGCCACAGAUGGCAUUGUCACCAGAAAAUGGAAGCACAAAGCGCUUUGGGUAACAGCAAUUCAAGAAUGACUGCAGAGAAAAUCUAUUAAGAAAUUCAAAUGCAGAUUUCAAUAUUUACUCCUUUUCAUUCUCUUCCUCUCUCUCUCGCUCACUUGCUCUUUUUCUCUCUCCCACCUUGUUUUUCUCGCUCUCCUUUUUUUUGCAUACAGUUUCUCAGUAAAAUACAUUUGAUUAAAUUUUAUAACAAACAAGCUUAUGAAAUGCAGAUAUACAAAAAGGAAAACAUAAGAAGCAUGCAUAAUUCUACCACUGAAAAAUACUACUAAAAUUUGGUAUUUAAACUUUUGAAUGUUUGUCACUGCACUUGCAUGUGUGUGUAAAUAUAAUCUCCAACUCUGCAGAGAAAUACAAGAAUUGUUAUGAACCUUAAUAAACUCCCAAAAGAUUUCAAAAGCAACUUCUCUGUCAUUAGAAUAUACUCAGAAAGUCAAUAACAUAUUUUAAUCCAUUCCAAGAGCCCCAUAUUUAUUGGGUCUAUGAGAAAGCAAUUUAUAGCGUUGGUUUUUUUAUAAGAAGAGUAGAUGGCCAUUUGGGGGCAAGUCAUGUGUCAUUUGGAAUAACCACAAUAGGUGGAAAAAAUGCCUCAGAUUCUGCUGCAAGACUAAGAGCCACAAGGAGCUUUUCGUUCCAUCACUAGUUGGACAUUUAUUGGACAUCAAUUUCAUAUACAAUCUCAUGGUCUGCACUGGGGAAUGACAAAAAAGUAUAAGAAAUUAUCUCUCACCUGAAGAAAUGUAUAGUGUAGGUUUGUUAAAAAUUAAGUUUUAGAACUCAUUUUUCAAACUAAAAUCUCAUGCUAAAAAUAAUAUAUAGAAUAGAUCAAAGCAGACUAUUAUGAAAGAUGCAAAGAUAGAUGGGCCUGGGGACCCAUCCAUCUGUUUUCCUCAAGUACCACUUAAGGCCCCCACAAACUAUAGAGUGGAAACCAAUAGCUACAGGAGAUAAAUGAAAACAUUGACAGGUCAAGGUUUGUGAAUAUAAGUGUGGUUGGUCAUGGUAAAGAAACCACAGUUAAUACGCUCCCUCUGCGUGCUGGAUGCUCAUCCUGGAGCUUUGCCUCUAUCAAUUAACUUAAUCCUCACAACAGUCUCGAUCUGUAGGUAUAAUAAAUCUAGGUUUGAAAAUACAAAAAUGACUUGUUCAAUAUAUCUCAUAGCUAUAUUUAGCAGAUCUGAGUUUCAAAUGCAAGUCUAGAUGACUCUGACAUCCAUGACAACUCUUACACCUAAAUAGAAUGCAAGAUUUGAAUAACUAUACACACACACAAGCACGUGCAUGCACACAUGCACACAUGCACACACAGGAUAUACAUGAUUAAUUGUGAAAUGAGAGGUUAACAGUCAGGUUUGAUGUGUCCUGAUUAGUGAGGGGAAGAAUUUACCUAAAAAUUCUGGGUGUAGUCAUUCAAGUAUGACGUAAAAGGGAAUGGAUUGCCAG